rnacentral:snRNA from 1 species
AGCUUUGCGCAGUGGCAGUAUCGUAGUCAAUGAGGUUAAUCCAAGGCGCGAUUAUUGCUAGUUGAAAACUUUUCCCUGAAAUCUUUUUGCCUGGCUAUGGAAUUUCCUUUAAUUAGA